rnacentral:lncRNA from 1 species
CCCGCCCCCCCUCUCCUCCCGUUACCAUGGGGACGGCGGUUGCCGGGCGACGCAAACAAAGGACGCCGGACGCGGUGACGUCAGCGGCGCGGAACGCCGUCGCCAUGGCGACACGCAGUGUUUACUGCGCGCGGCGGCGCCGGCAGCGCCGCGUGGUGAUGGGAAAAGGGAGAAGCCGGGAGAGGGACAGCCCGGGAUAACCGGGUCUGGAGGCACCGGGACCGGGAUAACCCGGGACAACCGGGUCUGGGGGACCAGGAUAACCCGGGGCAACUGGGUCUGGAGGCACCGGGACCGGGAUAACCCGGGACAACUGGACCUGGAGGACUGGGAUGACCUGGGACAAACAGGUCUAGGGGACCAGGACCAGGAUUAACUGGGACAGCUGGAGCUGGAAGCACCAGGAUAAGCUGGGACAACCGGGUCUGGGGGCACCGGGACUGGGAUAACCCGGGACAACCCAGGCUGCAGGCACCAGGACUGGGAUAAACUGGGACAACUGGAUCUGGAGGACUGGGAUAACCUGGGAUAACCCGGGCUGCAGGCACUAGGACUGGGAUAACCCAGGACUACCAGGACUGGAGGCACUGGAACUUGGAUAACCCGGGACUACUGGACCUGGAGGACUGGGAUAACUGGACCCAGAGGCACUGGGAUAACUCAGGACAACCAGGACUGGAGACACUGGAACUUGGAUAACCAGGGAUUAAUGGACCUGGAGAACUGGGGCAACCCGGGAUAACCAGACCCAGAGGCACUGGGAUGGGGAUAACCUGGGAUAAACAGAGUUAGAAGCACUGGGACAACCCGGGAUAACUGGGACUGGAAACACUGGGACCAGGGGAACCGGGGACUGCCAGGCCUGGGGACACCUGGACUGGGAUAAUCUGGGAUAACUGGAGCUGGGGGCACCAGGAUAACCCGGGAUAACUGGAGCUGAAGGGACUGGAACAGGAAUAACCCAGGACAACCAGAGGAAACCAGACCUGGAGGCACCGGGACUGGGAUAAACUGGGAUAACUGGAGCUGAACGCACCGGGAUAAUCCGGGACAACUGGAUCUGGAGGCACCGGGACUGGGAUGAACUGGGACGACUGGAUCUGGAGGCACUGGGAUAACCCGGGACAACUGGAUCUGCAGGCACUGGGACUGGGAUGAACUGGGACGACUGGAUCUGCAGGCACUGGGACUGGGAUGAACUGGGACGACUGGAUCUGGAGGCACCAGGACUGGGAUAAACUGGGACAACUGGAUCUGGAGGCACUAGGAUAACCCGGGACAACUGGAUCUGGAGGAAGCAGGACUGGGAUAAACUGGGACAACUGGAUCUGGAGGCACCGGGACUGGGAUAAACUGGGACAGAUGGAUCUGGAGGC